AGCAUUUGUGAUACUGUUGCAUGCAGUACUUCCCUCUCACUCUGUGAGCUCAGGAAUGGCAGCAGACUAAGCAGCUGUUUAAUUUGUGAGCUUUCACUAUGGUUUGUCACCAACUGUCAAUUCAUCAACACUAAGUACCUACUCUGUGCUAGACACUGUGGAUAAAAAGACCAAGACUUUUUUUUUUUCAACUUUUAUUUUAAAUUCAGGGAAUACAUGUGCAGGUCUCUUAAUGGUUAUAUUGCAUGAUGCUGAGGUAUGGGGUACAAUUGAUCUUGUCACCCAGGUAGUGAGCAUAAUUCCCAAUAGGUAGUUUUUCCUUGCCUCUCACUCUUUUGCAGCCCCCAGUGUCUAUUGUUCCCAUCUUUGUGUCCAUGCGUACCCAAUGCUUAGCUCCCACUUUUAAGUGAGAACAUAUAUUUACUUUUGUUCCUGUAUUAAUUCGCUUAGGAUAAUGGCCUCCAGCUUUAUCCAUGUUGCUGCAAAGGGCAUACUUUUGGGUUUUCUUUAUGGCUGCAUAGUAUUCCAGGGUGUAUAUGUACCACAUUUUCUUUAUCCAGUCCACCGCUGAAGGGCACCUGACUUGAUUCCAUGUCUUUGCUAUUGUGUAUAGUGCUGCGAUGAACUUAUGAGUGAAUGCAUCAAAAAGACCAAGUUGAACUUAUGAGCGAAUGCAUCAAAAAGACCAAGACUUGAUCCCUUGCCCACAAAGAUACAAGGCUGAGGACAAAGCCAUGAAGGAAAAGCCUCACUGAAGAAGAGGAACCUAAGAGAAGCAGGUUCUGCUCUGAUGAACUCCCAUAAAGGCAUUCCCAUAAAGGUGUGGGCCUGAGUGAUAAUCUAGAUAUGGUACAGUUGACAUCAGGUAUAUGGCGGCAGCCAGAAAUUCAACUUUGUCCAUCAGCUCUCUGCACAACAGGAAAGAUGGUGACCUUCCAGGCUUAUCUGAGGUCCAAGAGUAACAUCACAAACACAGUAACUACACCCAGCCAAAGAAAAGCAUACCUGAAUCCAAGAGAGUAUUUACACUGGCUUCAGGGAUGAGGAAAUAAAGGAGUAAGUGAUUAGGAUCAUUGUUUUCCUUUCUCUUUGGUACAAAAUAAAUGAGCUUCCUUUCUUUCAUUAAAAAUAAAUGUUUAGGCCGGGCGCGGUGGCUCACGCCUGUAAUCCCAGCACUUUGGGAAGCCGAGGCGGACG
rnacentral:lncRNA from 10 species